AGUGAACGCUGGCGGUAGGCCUAACACAUGCAAGUCGAACGGCAGCACAGUAAGAGCUUGCUCUUACGGGUGGCGAGUGGCGGACGGGUGAGGAAUACAUCGGACUCUACUUUUUCGUGGGGGUUAACGUAGGGAAACUUACGCUAAUACCGCAUACGCCCUACGGGUGAAAGCAGGGGAUCUUCGGACCUUGCGCGAUUGAAUGAGCCGAUGUCGGAUUAGCUAGUUGGCGGGGUACAGGCCCACCAAGGCGACGAUCCGUAGCUGGUCUGAGAGGCUGAUAAGCCACACUGGAACGGAGACGCGGUCCAGACUCCUGCGGGAGGCAGCAGUGUGGAAUAUGGGACAAUGGGCGCAAGCCUGGUCCAGCCAUACCGCGUGGGUGAAGAAGGCCUUCGGGUUGUAAAGCCCUUUUGUUGGGAAAGAAAAGCAGCAGGUUAAUACCCCGCUGUUCUGACGGUACCCAAAGAAUAAGCACCGGCUAACUUCGUG
rnacentral:rRNA from 1 species